AACAUCUGGACAUCACUCAACUCUGUCACACAUGCACAGCAGUGGACCCACACUCUCCUCCAGAACAAGACUCACUUAAAGUGCUGAUCUCUGCUGCUGCUGGAUCUCUGUUGAUUAUGUCUCUAGUGUAGAGCAUUACUCAAUGGCUCAUUUUGCCAUUGCUCAAGUUUUUUUUUUUUUAUUAUAUUAAUGUUAAGAGACUACAAAAUUAUUAUUGUAAUAAUAUAAAAUGACUCUUUUGUUAAAGUUGAGCUUUCUUGUACUGAAAUAGCAUUUUUUGCAGUUAUGACACAUGAUUACAGUCAAACCUGCAUGUAGUGUUAUAUGUGUGUAUUAGAGUGUGUAUAAGCACAAUACAGAAAGGCACUUAGGUCUGUCUGUCUGCCUCCAAUGUGUUUCACAGGCUUCGAAAAUCAAGGGAGACUUCAGGUUUCUACUGCAGGUGAGCAUGAAUUAGAGUUUGAGAGACACAGUGAGGGGAGGAGUGAAAGAGCAGAGGAUGAACAGUUCUUGGAUGUCUUGGACGUCUCCUAGCGGAUCAGACAGCUACGAAUCAAAGGCAGAUAUCGCGUGAUUCACACUUAUGUUAAUAAACUCAAUGUAACUGAAACUCUCUUGCUUUUAUAUGAAAAUAAAGUUUUCUCAACGUG